rnacentral:rRNA from 1 species
UACGGGAGGCAGCAGUGGGGAAUAUUGCACAAUGGGCGAAAGCCUGAUGCAGCUAUGCCGCGUGUAUGAAGAAGGCCUUAGGGUUGUAAAGUACUUUCAUCGGGGAGGAAAAAACAAAACUAAUAAUUUUAUUUCUUGACGUUACCCGAAAAAGAAGCACCGGCUAACUCCGUGCCAGCAGCCGCGGUAAUACGGAGGGUGCUAGCGUUAAUCAGAAUUACUGGGCGUAAAGAGCACGUAGGUGGUUUUUUUAAGUCAGAUGUGAAAUCCCUGGGCUUAACCUAGGAACUGCAUUUUGAAACUGAAAUACUAGAGUAUCGUAGAGGGAGGUAGAAUUCUAGGUGUAGCGGUGAAAUGCGUAGAUAUCUGGAGGAAUACCUGUGGCGAAAGCGGCCUCCUAAACGAAUACUGACACUGAGGUGCGAAAGCGUGGGGAGCAAACGAGGGAUUAGACUA